AGUGACAUAUCUGGGUCAAAUGGUGGUUCUAUUCCCAAUUCUCUGAGGAAUCUCCAUACUGCUUUCCAUAGUGUUUAUACCAAUUUACAGUCCCACCAGCAAU
rnacentral:pre_miRNA from 1 species